rnacentral:rRNA from 1 species
GUGCCAGCCGCCGCGGUAAAACCAGCACCUCAAGUGGUCAGGAGGAUUAUUGGGCCUAAAGCAUCCGUAGCCUGCUUUGUAAGUUUCCGGUUAAAUCCAUUAGCUCAACUGAUGGGCCGCCGGAAAAACUGUAAAGCUAGGGAGUGGGAGAGGUAGACGGUACUCGGUAGGAAGGGGUAAAAUCCUUUGAUCUAUUGAUGACCACCAGUGGCGAAGGCGGUCUACCAGAACACGUUCGACGGUGAGGGAUGAAAGCUGGGGGAGCAAACCGGAUUAGAUACCCGGGUAGUCCCAGCUGUAAACGAUGCAGACUCGGUGAUGCCCUGGCUUGUGGCCAGUGCAGUGCCGCAGGGAAGCCGUUAAGUUUGCCGCCUGGGAAGUACGUACGCAAGUAUGAAACUUAAAGGAAUUGGCGGGGGAGCACCACAAGGGGUGAAGCCUGCGGUUCAAUUGGAGUCAACGCCAGAAAUCUUACCCGAAGAGACAGCAGAAUGAAGGUCAAGCUGGAGACUUUACCAGACAAGCUGAGAAGUGGUGCAUGGCCGUCGCCAGCUCGUGCCGUGAGAUGUCCUGUUAAGCCAGGUAACGAGCGAGAUCCCUGCCUCUAGUUGCCACCAUUACUCUCAGGAGUAGUGGGGCGAAUUAGCGGGACCGCCGCAGUUAAUGCGGAGGAAGGAAGGGGCCACGGCAGGUCAGUAUGCCCUGAAACUUUGGGGCCACACGCGGGCUGCAAUGAUAGUGACAAUGAGUUCCUAAACCGAAAGGUGGAGGCAAUCUUCAAACGCUAUCACAGUUAUGAUUGAGGGCUGCAACUCGCCCUCAUGAAUAUGGAAUCCCUAGUAACUGCGUGUCAUUACCGCGCGGUGAAUACGUCCCUGCUCCUU